CACACUGCCUUGUAUCGCCAGUACAGUGAGAGUCCUAGUGGGCCUCCGUAGUCUCCCGCCCCCUCUAAUGUAUCAAUUUUUCAUAUUCAUAUUUCGCUGUGCCCUUCACCUCUUCCCUGUCUCUGUCACUUUGGGGAAGAGGAGUUGGGGGAAGGAGAACCUACUGCCUGCUUCACUGUAUUGUCCCUAUUGUUUUGCAGGUGUGUCAUUGUUUUCUGUUUGUUUAUCACUUUGUCAUGGUGUUAUUUUGCUUGUAACCUUGUACAGUUAAUUAGCAUGCUAGCUCCCGCUAGCGUAGUUGCUAACUAAGUUAGCCAUACUAGCUAGCUACUUCCAUUAGGUCUCUAUCAGGAGCUAGGCUAGGUAGCAUAGUUUAAUGGUUAAAUCCUAGCGACUAGUUGUGUUAACCUUUUAAAUGUAAUGAUUGAUGUUACUUUUAUUUUAUAUCUUGUAUUUUGUAUUUAGUAUGUUUUGUGUGGGUUACCUGUGCUUUUUGGCCCUGUCUCUGUCACUUUGGGGAAGAGGAGUUGGGGGAAGGAGAACCUACUGCCUGCUUCACUGUAUUGUCCCUAUUGUUUUGCAGAGAGAAUAAAAGCCCGCGAAUACAUCGUCA